AUCUACGGCCGUGCCACUCUGAACAAGCCUGAUCCUGUCUGAUCUUGGAAGCUAAGCAGGGUUGGGCCUGGUAAGUACUUGGGUGGGAGACCACCUAGGAAGACCAGGUGCUGUAGGCG
rnacentral:rRNA from 1 species